GAUCAACGCUGGCGGCGUGCCUAAUGCAUGCAAGUCGAGCGGGGGAGCCUUCGGGCUACUUACGCGGCGGACGGGUGCGGAACACGUGGGCAACCUGCCCCGAGGUGGGGGAUAGCCGGUGGAAACACCGGGUAAUUCCGCAUGAGGUCACUGAUCGGAGGGUCAGUGAGGAAAGGGUCUUCGGACCCGCCUUGGGAGGGGCCUGCGGCCGAUUAGCUAGACGGUGGGGUAACGGCCUACCGUGGCGAUGAUCGGUAGCUGGUCUGAGAGGACGGCCAGCCACACGGGGACUGAGACACGGCCCCGACUCCUACGGGAGGCAGCAGCAAGGAAUCUUCCGCAAUGGGCGAAAGCCUGACGGAGCAACGCCGCGUGUGGGAUGACGCCUUUCGGGGUGUAAACCACUUUUCUCAGGGAAGAAGCACUGACGGUACCUGAGGAAUAAGGACCGGCUAACUACGUG
rnacentral:rRNA from 1 species